rnacentral:rRNA from 1 species
CGGGCGACGCGGCGGUCUAAGUCCCUUGGAACGGGGCGUCAUAGAGGGUGAGAAUCCCGUAUGUGACCGGUGGCCGAGCCCAUGCGAAACCCCUUCGACGAGUCGAGUUGUUUGGGAAUGCAGCUCAAAACGGGUGGUAAAUUUCAUCUAAAGCUAAAUACCGGCCAGAGACCGAUAGCGCACAAGUAGAGUGAUCGAAAGAUGAAAAGCACUUUGGAAAGAGAGUCAAAAAGUACGUGAAAUUGUUGAAAGGGAAGCGCUUGCAACCAGACCUGCCCGCGGGUGUUCCACCGUCCUUCGGGGCGGCGUACUCGCCCGCGAUCAGGCCAGCAUCGGUUCGGGCGGCCGGAUAAAGGCCCUGGGAACGUAGCUCCCUUCGGGGAGUGUUAUAGCCCAAGGUGCAAUGCGGCCCGCCCGGACCGAGGACCGCGCUUCGGCGAGGAUGCUGGCGUAAUGGUUGUAAGCGGCCCGUCUUGAAACACGGACCAAGGAGUCGACCAACUAUGCGAGUGUUUGGGCGUCAAACCCACACGCGCAAUGAAAGUGAACGGAGGUGGGAACCCCUUCGCGGGGGCGCACCAUCGACCGAUCCAGAUGUCUUCGGAUGGAUUUGAGUACGAGCAUAGCUGGUCGGACCCGAAAGAUGAUGAACUAUGCCUGAAUAGGGUGAAGCCAGAGGAAACUCUGGUGGAGGCUCGCAGCGGUUCUGACGUGCAAAUCGAUCGUCAAAUUUGGGCAUAGGGGCGAAAGACUAAUCGAAUCAUC